GACCCAGUGGUGAAGUGGUAUAGCAUCCGGUUUAUCUCAGUGAGACAAUCUCGGAGUUUCUGCGGAAAGCACCCGUUUGAUUCGGGUCUGGGUCA